GAUGAACGCUGGCGGCGUGCCUAAUACAUGCAAGUCGAGCGAAUAGACGAGGAGCUUGCUCCUCUGACGUUAGCGGCGGACGGGUGAGUAACACGUGGAUAACCUACCUAUAAGACUGGGAUAACUUCGGGAAACCGGAGCUAAUACCGGAUAAUAUAUUGAACCGCAUGGUUCAAUAGUGAAAGACGGUUUUGCUGUCACUUAUAGAUGGAUCCGCGCCGCAUUAGCUAGUUGGUAAGGUAACGGCUUACCAAGGCAACGAUGCGUAGCCGACCUGAGAGGGUGAUCGGCCACACUGGAGCUGAGACACGGUCCAGACUCCUACGGGAGGCAGCAGUAGGGAAUCUUCCGCAAUGGGCGAAAGCCUGACGGAGCAACGCCGCGUGAGUGAUGAAGGUCUUCGGAUCGUAAAACUCUGUUAUUAGGGAAGAACAAAUGUGUAAGUAACUAUGCACGUCUUGACGGUACCUAAUCAGAAAGCCACGGCUAACUACGUG
rnacentral:rRNA from 1 species